CACGUAGGGGGCGAGCGUUGUCCGGAUUUAUUGGGCGUAAAGAGCGUGUAGGCGGCCAGGUAGGUCUGGUGUGAAAACUCGAGGCUUAACCUCGAGAUGUCAUCGGAAACCAUCUGGCUAGAGUCCGGAAGAGGAGAGUGGAAUUCCUGGUGUAGCGGUGAAAUGCGCAGAUAUCAGGAAGAACACCAAUGGCGAAAAGCAGCUCUCUGGGACGGUACUGACGCUGAGACGCGAAAGCGUGGGGAGCGAACAGG
rnacentral:rRNA from 1 species